ensembl:lincRNA
UUUCUGGUGUUGGUCCCAGGAUAGUGAUAAUAUUUCAUUUCUUCAUUUUUAGAUAACAAUCAACAGAGACAGUGGAGAAGAUGUGAGCUCCCCUAAACACGGGAAGGAGGACCCAGACAACAUGCCCCAUGUGGGUGGCAAUACUUGGGCUGGUGGAACAGGAGGAAGAGACACUGCAGGUCUGGGAGGAAAAGGAGGUCCUUAUCGGCUGGAUGCAGGUCACACAGUGUACCAGAUCUCUGAUGCUGAGAAGGAUGCCGUUCCCGAAGAGGUCAAGAGAGCUGCAAGAGAGAUGGGCCAGAGAGCAUUUCAACAGAGGUGAGUGUUCACGUCACAUCUACAACAGUGCUGUUGACUAACAGACACAUAC